UACGACCAUAUCCCAUUGAUACAACAGUUCUCAUAUGAUCACUGAAGUUAAGCAACAUUGAGCCUGGUCAGUACCUAGAUGGAUAACCACUUAGGAAUACCAAGUGCUGUGA